UAUAAGUUGAACUAGGUGAGCACCAGUGGGGUGGAUGUUGGGGUGUGUGAUCCCAACAUGGGAACAAUUCAUGUAACAGGACAUGCCUCUGAUUGCACGUGCUGGAUUUCUCAGCAACAAGGAAAAUAGGGCUAAUGUCCAGCAAGAUUCACAGCCAUCCCAGAAUAUUAAAUGGCACAAAUAAUAAAUGUGAGGCUCGUAAUAAAAUGUGCAUCCAUCAUUGAAUUGAGGCCCUGCAUGAUCCCUGGAAGGAAGCCCUCGGGAGUGUGGUGUUGUCUUCCUGUGACACCCUGGGAGAUAUGAGUUAAAUGCAGGUGGAGUUUUGUGGCCAGUUAGAGUGGCAAUCAGAAUAUCUGGCAACCACAAAUGCAGAUAUAGAAGGAUCUGGCAAAGAGAAACCCGUGGGCCAGUUGGAGGAGAGCAGGUGCGCGUACUGGAAGUCAGCAGGUGGUGACAAGGGGGCUUCCUGUAUUAGGUGUCCAUGGAGGCAGCAGGCAGUGGCGUGUGUCUUUUGACUUUAACAACUUCGUAUUCAUAUAAAGUACUUGAUGAAGACACCUGGAUUAGUUUACACAAUAUUGCAAAACUUGACCUUUGUCAGACUGUUCAGGAGGCCCGUAGUAUGAUCUGUGAAUCACAUUUAUGUUUCUAUUGAGGAUGGUUUUUGUUUCGUUAAAAUAGCACAAAAGAUAUUUGCCUCUCAUUCAAUUACUGAUAUAAGCAUAACUGAUAUAAGCCUUUUCAUUUUAUACAUUUUUUUCAGGAGAAACACCCCACUGUCACCUGUUUGAAUGACUCCUUCUCCACAUCAGCAGGCUUUCCAACCCUACUUGCUUGGGUUCCUAGAACGCGCUGGGAACACUCCCCUCCCUGAUUUCCAUAUGGGUCACUUUCAAGCUCCGUUCUGAUCGUGGAAUUUAAAACCAUAACUCCUUAGUGUGAAUUACCAUCUGACAUGCUGUGUGUUUUACUUAGCUAUCUACUCAUUCCCUACAUCGUCUCUUCCCAACUUAGAAUUAAGAUCCACGAAGGUAGGAAUUUUUGUUUUGUCCAGUGAUGAGCUCUCAGGAUUGAGACUAGUGCUAGCAACAGGGGAGGCUGUCACUAAGCAUAUGUGGAAUUAACUGAUGAACAAAGAAACGAAUUACCACCCAUCCACCAAGCCAAAGUGUGAACAUUUUUUUUUUUUUGACAGGAAAGAGGAUUUAUUGGUGGGCAUGAAUAAGGAGGGGGAAACACCAAAGCUCUCAUGAGUGCAGAGCAUGCCUCCUGUCCCGGGGGCUGUGAUGAGAGAUAUAUUUGACUCCGCAGCCAUCUGGGAUGAGCUGCUUUCCAGCCACUUUGUCUUGAAAUUUGUCUGUGUUAACUUAGCAAUGCCCCACUUCUUGGAGCUGUGGAUCUAGGGAGUGACGGAAGGAAUAGGAACAGAAAGCCCGGACACUGGGGCAAGGAAAGGCAGGAAGGAACAAAGCCACAGCACAACUCAUCUUCUGGUGGUCAGGGAGCUUGAAUUUGGCCCUGUGUAGAGCCUCAGUCACAUGCUCCUUGUUCUACAGGUUAGUGAGGAUGGACGUGGUGACUUGGCCAAUGUGGACCCUGGCCGCUGUGCUCUGGGGUUUUCCCAGCAACACCCAGGUGUCUACAUUAAACUUUAUAUGGAUCCAGGUGUCUUGGUUAAGGUCAGACAUGACUGUCCACUGGAAAGGGCUAUCUCCAGGGUCCCUCUUGGCAACCCAUGCAAUCAACAGGCUGUAGACGCCACCAAGGAGGCCGCUGUCUGCAGCCGUCGGUCACUGGGUCCCUGCGGGCAAAGAGCUUGCCUGGUUGCAGACAGAGCGUGAAAAUUCUUAAAUUUGCCAGCUUGGUUCUUGCUGCUUCUUCCUCACAAAUUGAGGCCAAGAAACAGACGAGUUUUUUUUUUUUCAGUUUUUUUUCAGGUUAUUCCCUAGAAACUUUGAAAAUACCCCAAAUACCAGUAGUGCUUGGGAUAGAACAAAGCCUCCAUGAAUUUGAGCAGGUUUAAGACUUCAAUGCUGACUUCGGGUGAUGUGAAGCUUGCCGUUACUCUCAUGUUUAAUAUUUCCCUUCACCAAAUACAUGAUGUGGUAGUUUCAGUUCAGAAAAGCAACGUGUUCCUAUGUCAUCAAGAUCUUUAAAAAGCACUGUAAAGAAACCAAAGCGUGGGUUUUUGGCAAAGGCACCCACACAACGUAACGAAACUCAUUUUAUUAGCUCUUCACUAGACGAGAAGUAAUGGCCAUUUUGCGGGAGCUCAUUAAGAUAAGUGGAGAUUGUAGUCAGCCUCAUGCUCGAGGGGGCCCCCAGGGGAACUUACAACGGCAAUGUCUCCCCUUUAUGGACCUCCCAGCACCAGACUCUAAGCAAUAAUGCAUCUCGUGGUUGGCAGUGAACUGGCUUCUUCCUGGAAACUGCCCCAAAAUUCGCGUUGAUGAUUUUGCCCAUUCUGUGCUGAAACAGGCACUUCAUGGCACACUGAAGGCUCCUUUUAUUGGCCUUACUGUACCACUUACUUGUUGUUAUUUUAGAAAUUUUACUGAACUCUUUCGAACCCUCCAAACAGGGGCAUUACUAACAGUGUGUCGCUGCAAAGUUCGGAGAGCAGACUCCAAGAUUCCCGGAGGUACGGCUCAGGACUGAUUCCUUCCAGCCCUUUCUUUUCCCAGGCAGGCCUCCUUCCUUCCCUGCCAUCUUCAUAUCUGUGCCAGGACCCGAGGGAAAGACCGGUAAAAGUAAGGGGAUGACUUCUCAUCCACGUAAUUGGCUUUAGGGUUAUUCGGGGGGCAGAGACAAAGAAGGAGUCAUCACUCAGGCAGUGACAUUAGCAGCCAAGGGUGUUGCAGCCAAGACCAGUCAUUGCGGAAACCAGCACAGGCUGGAGGUACCAGGAACUGAUAACCAGCAAAGUCAAGAGAGCCUGAAUAAGGGGCUAAUAAUCCCUGGGACCAGAGAAGCCAGCAACCGGACCCAAGGCUGGUGACACCCACUGACAAGGGGGGAGUCCUACAGCCACCUCUCCGAUUCUCCACGACCCUCCCACAUCUGACCACGUGUGAGAGCUGGCCCCCAAGGCUCUGCCCGACUGAUCUCUGAACAUAACAGAGAUCGUCCACUGCUCAAACACAGGAAGUGGUAAGCGUGGAGAGAGGAAGCUCCACCUCAGCUCUACGCCCACGGACUGACUUCACGUUUGGUUGGUUAACUACUCCCCCCACCCCCGCCCCUUGUUGUAUCUUGUUUGUUGGGUGACUUCGUCUUGUGCUUUGCUUUGUGUGACGUGUAUGAAGCCAAGUUAAAUGCUUGGUGAAAUGUCAUUGACUUUGGAAUCCUAAACCAGAUUUAUAAUUAUGUUAAAUUUGCUUUUUGACUGAAUAAUGUUGACAUUGUUGAAAGAUACAACUCAUGUGUGUGACUGCAUAGAAUGUUCGUGAUCCGGGUAGAACUCUGGCUCACUUCCCUCCUACAGCACACAAGCCCUGGGCCAGUGGGGGCAGUCCUUCAGAACACCAAGCUCUUUGGGGCGCCUGGGUGGCUCAGUUGGUUAAACGUCUGACUCUUGAUUUCUGCUCAGUUCAUGAGCCCCGUUGAGCUCUGAGUUGAGUGUGGAGGCUGCUUGGAAUUCUUCCUCCCCCUCUCUCUGCCCUACUGCUCGUGCUCUCUCUCUUUCUUAAAAUAAAUGAAUAAACUUAAAAAAAAGAGUACGAAGCUCUCAGCAUAGUGAUCACUUGAAACCAAAAAUAUUAAAUACAUUAAGUUUUACUAUGUAAAUUAUUUCAUCAUCUAUAUCUUGAAGCAUAAUAUUGAGAUUUAUUUGUUGAAAGAAUAAAUGAGUGAAUUCUAGGGGACAUAGUAAAACAUUCUUUUUAAAGUUGUGUUUUUAAGGAAAUAAUUUCUUUUAUUUGGAUGAAAUAUGGUAUUAAAUCCCAUCUUUUCUGAUCACUAAUCACUAUUUAUUUACGGCUUGUUUUGCUUAAAAUAUGUGUUCCUAAUUAUUUUCCUUUUCAAAUAUUAAUUUCUGAUAGUAUAAAGUUUCCAUUUUUGGGUGCCUGGGUGGCUCAGUCUGUUAAGCGUCCGACUCCGACUCAGGUCAUGAUCUUGCAGUUUGUUGAGUCCAAGCCCUGAGAUGGGCUCUGUGUUGACGGCUCCGGAGCCUGGAGCCUGCUUCCGAUUCUGUGUCUCCCUCUCUCUCUGCCCUUCCCCCACUUGUGCUCUGUCUCUCUGUCUCUAAAAAAAACAACAUUAAAAAAGGUUUAUACAGUUUCCAUUUUCUGUGAAUAUACCAUAUUGAAUCAGUUGUUAGAGUAUUGUCCUGAAUGAGAGAAAAUCCAUAUCAGUAUUAUCAUGGGAAAAAGUGGUACAUCCAGAAAUUAAUCAAUACACUUUUUGCAAGUUUCUUUUUGAUCUAACCCAAGAAACUUUUCUGUAGUAAAUAUUAACUUUCUGAAAAACUGAUCCCCCAAAGAAUUAAAUGUGGGGAGAUCACAUGGGCCAGGACACCUAGUACAGACUUUGGGGUUCACACAGAUGCCAAUCGAGAAUGCGCUUCCUGUGUUGGGCUGUCAGCUUCCUGAGGCUGGGCUGGCCCCACACCACGGCCUCCCCCUGAUAUGCAGAGCUUCCCACCUUGUGGUUGUGAUGAGGAUUAAAUAGGCUAAUGUAUGGAAAGCACUUGGAAUAGUUCCUGGAGCACUGCAAGGACUCAGAAAAUAGUAGUUAAUUAGGGGCACCUGGGUGGCUCAGUCGGUUGAGCCUCCGACUUCGGCUCAGGUCACGAUCUCACAGUUCAUGAGUUCAAGCCCCGCAUCGGGCUCUGUACUGAUGGCUCGGAGCCUGGAGCCUGCUUCGGAUUCUGUGUCUCCCCCUCUCUGCCCCUCCCCUGCUCAUGCUCUGUCUCAAAAAUAAAUAAACAUUUUUAAAAAAUUAAAAAAAAAGAAAAUAGUAGUGAAUUAGAUUAUGAAGAUGAUGGUGAUGGUGGUGAUGGUGAUGACGAUAGUGACGUUCCAGGCCCCUGCGACAAGUCGUCAGAAAUUAUUGCUUGGAGUAUUUUCUAAAGACCAAUGAUUUCCAGUCUGGGUGAUGCCUGAAACUCAUGACUCUACCAGGAAAACACACUUGUGACUUCCCACGUGGACAAUAGUAUGUACCGUCUGCUGUGCUCUAGAUACUGUUUCAUCGUUUACUUUUCAUAAUGACGUGAAUGGCUGUGGCUCUUCAUGCCGCGUCAGGGAGCUGCCCACUCUGCCCUCACCCGUGAGGCUGCUUAAUGCUGUGCCAGCGGCCUGCCCUCCUCCCGCCUUCCGAGGAAGACCGACUCCCCCGGGCUCAAGGCUCCUUCUCACCAUCUUCUCUCCUCUCCGAUCUCCUCUCGGGUCCGUUUGUUGCCUUUUUCUCUUGUGUUUUCAAGUCACCCUGUACCGGAGUCCUUUCCCUCACCACAGACCCGUGGCAUUUCACAACACGCUGGAGCGCACAGAUGUGUAUUGACCUGGUGUUCAUGCUCGUCACAACUUCCGAAUGCUUGCACUGCUCGAUCUUGCUGUUUAAUUUGUGGAUAAGGGAGCACACGUGUUACAUCAAUUCCGAUUUGUUUCUGCCAAAAUGCCAUUGAGAUUUUGAUAAGGAUUGCCUCGAAUCUACAGGUUGCUUUGGGUAGCAUGGACUUCUCACUGUGCUGUGUCUGGUUUAAAAAAAUUUUUUUUUAAUCUUUAUUUAUUUUUGAGAGACACAUGCACAGAGCAC
rnacentral:lncRNA from 1 species